CACUGGGGGUGCAUGUGGGCCCCAAAUUAGUCCCUCACGAUGUCUGACUUUCUGCUCCCUUACUUUUGAGGGAAGCCAAGCUUCUGGUUUGUGGACGUUGUUGUAGAUGAGGUCAUUCUUCCCUCGCUGCAGUCUCGAGAUCCCGUCACACAGCGCCUCGAAACUAGCAUCAAGGAGGCCAUUGUCCAUUUCCCCACGGGCACACCCCUUAAUGAACCCCACGCUGGGGGCGUGCAUUCCCAGGGUCCUCUUCCUUUGCUCUCGGCCCCUGCUCUGCUUCCUUUGGGUUUUUCCAUGAGGGUCAGCUUCCACGGGGACCUUACCGGGUUCCCUGCCCAGCUCAGCCUCUUCCCCGACUGCUUUUCCUCCAGAGUUUGCAUGGGACACCCGAGGGCUGCUGCAUGUUCUCACGCCUGCUAGUUUUUCUCGCUGCAGUGCAGUCUGAGCACACAAGGGUAGGGGUCUGUGUCUGCCACCUGUGCAGCUAGGAUGGUGCCUGCACGAAGUGGUGGCACGAGCUCAUGGUUGCCUGCUGGCACCAGCCUGCCCAGGCACGCCGAGGAGAACCGGGCCGUGGCAAGACCUGUUCUCCUUGGGGGUGGGUAAUCUCAGCCCUUGGGUGCCUCCAGUUCAGGCUUUCUGCCUACCCAGCAACUUCUAAUUUGGGUGCGUGGUUGGGAGGUGUUUUCAGCUGUUAGCCUUGCCGGUGGGGGGGGCCUGCUCCCUGCUGCACAUUCUCAUCGAGUGCAGUUGGAGGGAGCUCCCUUGGCUACCCCUGGGUCAGAGGUGCCACAGGUGGGGUGGGAGAGAGCACGCGGUGCGCCCUGUGCCGGGGCCUUGGACGAUGACGGAGUAUAAGCUGGUGGUGGUGGGCGCUGGGGGCGUGGGGAAGAGUGCCCUGACCAUCCAGCUGAUCCAGAACCACUUCGUGGACGAGUAUGACCCCACCAUUGAGGACUCAUACCGGAAGCAGGUGGUCAUCGAUGGAGAGACUUGCCUGCUGGACAUCCUGGACACGGCGGGCCAAGAGGAGUACAGCGCCAUGCGAGACCAGUACAUGCGCACAGGGGAGGGCUUCCUAUGCGUCUUUGCCAUCAACAACGCCAAGUCCUUUGAGGACAUCCACCAGUACAGGGAGCAGAUCAAGAGGGUAAAGGACUCGGAUGACGUGCCCAUGGUGCUGGUGGGGAACAAGUGUGACCUGCCUGCCCGCACUGUGGACGCACGGCAGGCCCAAGACCUCGCCCGCAGCUAUGGCAUCCCCUACGUGGAGACCUCCGCCAAGACCCGCCAGGGGCAGCCGCUCUGGCUCUGGCUCCAGCUCCAGGACCCCCCGGGGACCCCCGGGACCUGUGUGACCCAGCGACCCCAGCGGCCCCUCGCGCUGGCGUGGAGGACGCCUUCUACACGCUCGUGCGGGAGAUCCGGCAGCACAAGCUGCGGAAGCUGAACCCCCCCGACGAGAGCGGCCCGGGCUGCAUGGACUGCAAGUGCGUGCUGUCCUGACGGCUGCGAGGCUCAGGCACGGAGGUACGGAGUGCAGGGCGGGGGCGUGGACGGAAGGAAGCCGGCAGGGAAGGAAGUGCCGCCGGAGCUGGGCCAGCCCAGGACAGCGGACAGAGGCGACCUCAUCCCCUCCACGGACGCUUUGCACAGACUCGUGAACUGUCACAACACCGCCGGCGACGAGCUCUCCCGCCCUGGCCCCUCCCGGCCCGCGGGGUGCGGGUUGAACCUCAGUAAAUUAUUGGCAGGUCUUG